GAUGAACGCUGGCGGCGUGCCUAACACAUGCAAGUCGAACGGAGAUUACGGACGGAAGUUUUCGGAUGGAAGACUGUAAUUCUUAGUGGCGGACGGGUGAGUAACGCGUGGGCAACCUGCCCUAUACAGGGGGAUAGCAGCUGGAAACGGCUGGUAAGACCGCAUAAGUCGGUUAAAUCGCAUGAUUUGAUCGGGAAAUGAGCAAUCAGGUAUAGGAUGGGCCCGCGUCCGAUUAGCCAGUUGGCAGGGUAAAAGCCUGCCAAAGCGACGAUCGGUAGCCGGACUGAGAGGUCGGACGGCCACAUUGGGACUGGGACACGGCCCAAACUCCUACGGGAGGCAGCAGUGGGGGAUAUUGCACAAUGGAGGAAACUCUGAUGCAGCGACGCCGCGUGAGUGAAGAAGUAUUUCGGUAUGUAAAGCUCUAUCAGCAGGGAAGAUGAUGACGGUACCUGACUAAGAAGCCCCGGCUAACUACGUG
rnacentral:rRNA from 1 species